AGAUUAGCCUUGUUGCUGAGAUCCAUGGAGCUGCCUCUCUUCUGCUGCUCUCUCUCCCUCAGGGUGGUUUCUCUGGAAUGGGGUUCACACAGUCUGCCAAUGCUACUGAUCAUCACACCACUAUCGAGAUCUUGUAGGCUCAUAGGUCCUAUAUAGUUGAUCCUUAUGGGAAAGUUUCAGUGGCAAGAAUUUGAAGCCUUGGUCACAUCCACAGUCAAGAGCAGAAAAAAAUAAAUGCAUGCAAGCUC
ensembl:lincRNA Gm29139 predicted gene 29139